AUGAACGCUGGCGGCGUGCCUAAUACAUACAAGUCGAGCGAACAGAUAAGGAGCUUGCUCCUUUGACGUUAGCGGCGGACGGGUGAGUAACCCGUGGGUAACCUACCUAUAAGACUGGAAUAACUCCGGGAAACCGGGGCUAAUGCCGGAUAACAUUUAGAACCGCAUGGUUCUAAAGUGAAAGAUGGUUUUGCUAUCACUUAUAGAUGGACCCGCGCCGUAUUAGCUAGUUGGUAAGGUAACGGCUUACCAAGGCAACGAUACGUAGCCGACCUGAGAGGGUGAUCGGCCACACUGGAACUGAGACACGGUCCAGACUCCUACGGGAGGCAGCAGUAGGGAAUCUUCCGCAAAGGGCGAAAGCCUGACGGAGCAACGCCGCGUGAGUGAUGAAGGUCUUCGGAUCGUAAAACUCUGUUAUUAGGGAAGAACAAAUGUGUAAGUAACUGUGCACGUCUUGACGGUACCUAAUCAGAAAGCCACGGCUAACUACGUG
rnacentral:rRNA from 1 species